GACGAACGCUGGCGGCGUGCCUAAUACAUGCAAGUAGAACGCUGAAGAGAGGAGCUUGCUCUUCUUGGAUGAGUUGCGAACGGGUGAGUAACGCGUAGGUAACCUGCCUUGUAGCGGGGGAUAACUAUUUGAAACGAUAGCUAAUACCGCAUAACAAUGGAUGACACAUGUCAUUUAUUUGAAAGUGGCAAUUGCUCCACUACAAGAUGGACCUGCGUUGUAUUAGCUAGUAGGUGAGGUAAUGGCUCACCUAGGCGACGAUACAUAGCCGACCUGAGAGGGUGAUCGGCCACACUGGGACUGAGACACGGCCCAGACUCCUACGGGAGGCAGCAGUAGGGAAUCUUCGGCAAAGGGGGCAACCCUGACCGAGCAACGCCGCGUGAGUGAAGAAGGUUUUCGGAUCGUAAAGCUCUGUUGUAAGUCAAGAAAGGGUGUGAGAGUGGAAAGUGCACACUGUGACGGUAGCGUACCAGAAAGGGACGGCUAACUACGU
rnacentral:rRNA from 1 species